UACGUAGGGUCCGAGCGUUGUCCGGAAUUACUGGGCGUAAAGAGCUCGUAGGUGGUUUGUCGCGUUGUUCGUGAAAACUCACAGCUUAACUGGGGGCGUGCGGGCGAUACGGGCAGACUGGAGUACUGCAGGGGAGACUGGAAUUCCUGGUGUAGCGGUGGAAUGCGCAGAUAUCAGGAGGAACACCGGUGGCGAAGGCGGGUCUCUGGGCAGUAACUGACGCUGAGGAGCGAAAGCGUGGGGAGCGAACAGG
rnacentral:rRNA from 1 species